AACGAACGCUGGCGGCAUGCCUAACACAUGCAAGUCGAACGAGACCUUCGGGUCUAGUGGCGCACGGGUGCGUAACGCGUGGGAAUCUACCCUCAGGUUCGGAAUAACUCAGAGAAAUAUGAGCUAAUACCGGAUGAUGACGUAAGUCCGAAGAUUUAUCGCCUGAGGAUGAGCCCGCGUAGGAUUAGGUAGUUGGUGAGGUAAAGGCUCACCAAGCCGACGAUCCUUAGCUGGUCUGAGAGGAUGAUCAGCCACACUGGGACUGAGACACGGCCCAGACUCCUACGCGAUGCAGCAGUGGGGAAUAUUGGACAAUGGGCGGAAGCCUGAUCCAGCACUGCCGCUUGAGUGAUGAAGGCCUUAGGGUUGUAAAGCUCGUUUACCCGGGAUUAUAAUGACAGUACCGGGAGAAUAAGCUCCGGCUAACUCCGUG
rnacentral:rRNA from 1 species